CCCUCGUGGUGGCGCCUUGCUCCUCGCCGGUGGUCGCCACCUGCCCGCGAAGCCUCGGUCCGUCCCCACCGCUGCCCGACUUGGUUGGAGUUGGGGUUCUGAGUGACUGCCCCCUACAGCCGGCCAGCGGAGAGCCCCGCGCCGCCAUCCCUGGUCCGGGAUCCCUUCUCCGCUCCUCUCCGCUCCCACGAUGGAAAAAGUUGGCGCCGGCGGCGGCUCCCAGCCGGGCUGAGCGCGCUCCUCGCCUGCAUGGGGCUCUGGGUUCUCCAGGAUGGACUAAAUGGUCACCAUUGUCAAGAAUUGAUUGAAAUUUCUGGUGGCAAGCCCAACAAUUAGGGUCUGUUUCUGGGGGAGCCUGUAGCUUCUAAGAUGGAAAAGCAUGUACAGGGCCUGGAAGAAGCGAGGAGGUGCCUCUCACU